UACGAAGGGGGCUAGCGUUGUUCGGAAUUACUGGGCGUAAAGCGCACGUAGGCGGGUCGUUAAGUCAGGGGCGAAAUCCCGGAGCUCAACUCCGGAACUGCCUUUGAUACUGGCGAUCUUGAGAUCGGAAGAGGUGAGUGGAAUUCCCAGUGUAGAGGUGAAAUUCGUAGAUAUUGGGAAGAACACCAGUGGCGAAGGCGGCUCACUGGUCCGAUACUGACGCUGAGGUGCGAAAGCGUGGGGAGCAAACAGG
rnacentral:rRNA from 1 species